GUGAAUCAUCAAAUCUUUGAACGCAAAUUGCACUCUCUUCGGAGAGUAUGCCUGUUUGAGGGCCAGUAUUAAUAAAAAUCGGAGUGUUGCCUUUUUGUGACGCUCCGGAGUCUGGGUCAUCUCAAUAACCUUCAGGUUUUAAGAGGUUUAAAAUUGACUUUUUUUGCGCAUUUUAGACGUAUAUAAACUCUUUUUUUUAUUCGUCUGUCUUCAUGCUCAAAAUCCUAUUAGAUGCGACCAUAUUGUGAGGUUUCGUGUCUAUAAAUUUUUCAUGAUUU
rnacentral:misc_RNA from 1 species